rnacentral:rRNA from 1 species
UACUAGAGUAGCACUCGCAUAUCAAUAAGCGGAGGAAAAGAAACUAACAAGGAUUCCCCUAGUAACGGCGAGUGAAGCGGGAAGAGCUCAAAUUUGAAAUCUUAAAGGGUUUCCCUUUACGAAUUGUAGUUUAAAGAAGUGUUUUCUGUUGAGGUUUUGGUAAAAGUUCUUUGGAAUAGGACAUCAUAGAGGGUGAGAAUCCCGUAUUUGACCUUUACUUUCAACUUUGUGAUACACUUUCAAAGAGUCGGAUUGUUUGGGAAUGCAGUCCAAAAUGGGUGGUAAAUUUCAUCUAAAGCUAAAUAUUGGCGAGAGACCGAUAGCGAACAAGUACCGUGAGGGAAAGAUGAAAAGAACUUUGAAAGGAGAGUUAAACAGUACGUGAAAUUGUCAAAAGGGAAGCGUUUGACACCAGUGUUGUUUUUCUGAAAAUCAAUUAAAGAACUGUUUAUGCUAAGCUGUUUAGACUUUAUCAGCUAUCUGUUUAGUUUUGAGCUUUUCUUUAAUGCACUUUUCAGUUAACAAGUCAACAUCAAUUUCUUUUGCUGUAAAAAAGCUUGAGGAAGGUGGCUUGAGAUUCGUCUUAAGUGUUUAUAGCCUCUUGCCUAUGCAGUCGGAGAGAUUGAGGUCUGCAGCGUAGAUCCUUCGGGGCUAAAUGCAUUUGUGCUAAGUUAUAGCAUUUUAUAGACAACUUGUUGACUAUGAUUUGUCUUGUAGCUUACUCGCUUAUGUUAUUUUACCUACGCUUAGGAUGUUGAGUCAUCACACAUCUCU